AAAACUCAUUAGCUCUUCAUCCACAGGGAGCCCUUUGCUUCCGUCUCAUCCGAACUGCCUUACAAGCACCACUGUCAAAGGCAUCUCAAAAGAGGAGAUCAAUUUUAUAGUGGUUUUACUCUUUGAAAGCAUGAACAGGCUCUCCAUUAGGAGCUAUAAUUUAUCUGUCUGUGACCACUGACUGCAGGUCUAUGAAAUGCAUCUAAAUGGAUUGCACGGAGCCAGAAACUCAACCCAGUUUACAGGAAACACCUUCACCAGUGACUUGAUAUCAGAAACUCUAACUGGCCCACAAUUUUCAGGAGAACGAACUGCCCAGAAAGCAACAACAGUCGCAGAUGGGGAAUUUUUGCUUUUCCACUGCUGGCGUCUUUGAGAAACAUGAAAAAAAAUGAAGAAGCAUUUUCAGAUAUAAAGGAAAAAAAACAGACUCCAACUGCUAAGAAGGGUGAAACACCACAACCUCAGCAGCUCGAGCGGUCAGCAGCAUCCCCCACGCACUCCUCGGGGCCAAGCCAGCUCCCUGCCUUGCGAGGCUGGUGAAGCCACUCGGAUUUUUUUUUUAUUCACUUGCUUAAAUGUUGUAGGCUUGAAAGUUUGACUUGAAAUAUAACAUCAGUGGGUUUGUGGUAAAAGCAGCAGAGAGGAUAGGAUGACAGGCGGGGCAGAGGGGACUGAUUGAAAGCAGGUGUGGAGGAGGAAGAUGGGAGGAGGAGAAAGAGGAAAACAUGACUGAGUAAGUAAAUUCAAUGUUAUACAUAUUGAAAAAGAGCACCCAUAUAUAGAGCACCCACCUGUGCUCACUUCUUUUGAACAUUGUUUUUUUAACAUAAAACAGGAGAUAGGCUUUAAAAUCGAGCAACCAAAACAAGGCACAGUGUGGCAUGCACUGCUCCCACAGAGGUGGCCAUGGCAGGAGUGGAGGGCAGGUGUUCUCCACAGUGUUUUAACUCCCCACUGGAAUGUUCUGGGAUCUUAAGGGAUGAAGAGCCCAUAGAGACUUGAAGGUGGGCUUGGUUUCUGGCAACAGGGGGCAUCUUGUAUUUAUGUCUGUAGAUACACAUGCAGAGAGAAUAAAAUAUAAUGGAGAUCAAUCA
rnacentral:lncRNA from 1 species